rnacentral:misc_RNA from 1 species
GCUAAGGGCGGCGCGGCUCCCAUGACAUCACAAGAGGAAGGCGUCACUUCACCCUCCUUGACGCACGGGACGGCCGGCUAGCAGGACGUCUACUUUGCAGCUUAGCCAGUACCCUUCAAAGCCACCGACCAUUUCUCAUCUCAUCGAAGAGUCCGGCUCGUCCUGUCAACAUCAAGAUGGCUGGUGGUCACGGAGAAAAUAUUUCCAUUAUGCCUCCCAAGACAAAGAUAUUUGUUGGCAAGUUGCCACCGACUUGUAAAGACUUUGAGCUACGAAAGUUGUUUGAGAGGUAUGGAGAAGUGACAGAAUGCUCCAUCCUGGGCAAUUAUGCCUUUGUUCACAUGAAGACAGAAGAGCAAGCUGCCACAGCCAUCAGGAACCUAAACAACUGGGACAUGAAUGGCUUCAAGAUCAGUGUUGAGCAAUCCACUGGGGAGAAGCGAGCUGGAGGAAUGGGAGGCAUGCGCGGGGGCAUGGGUGGGGGUUUCCGUGGCCGUGGUGGACCCAUGAGGGGACGAGGCAUGGGCCGACCAGGACCAUAUGACCGCCGUCCACCCAUGGGAGACCGCUAUGGCCCCCCACCACCAGGUCCCCCUCCUGCUCCACCCAUGAGAAAUGGAUACUAUGAAGACUACGAGCGCCGAGACCGUCGUCCCCUCCCCCCAGCAGGAGCUCUGGACCGGCGGCCCCCACCACCCAUGCCCAGGGAGCCAGCCUACAGGGACCCCUAUGACCGUUAUGACUCCUAUGACCGCAUGCCCCCUCCACCCAUGGGCAGGCGCACCCCACCACCCAUGGACCGCAGACCACCCCCCAUGGGAUAUGACCGGAGGGAUGACCCUUACGGAGACAUGCGAGACAUGUAUGGAGGUGGGCGGGAUAUGUUCCCUCCACGUGGCAGAUCUCCCCCUCGCCGCAGCCCUCCGCGCCGGUACACCUGGAGGAUGGGUGGACCUGACAGUUGAUCCUCACUGAGGACAACAGGCUAAGGUCUUGCUGAACUGAACUGAACUUGUUCAUGGUGGCAAUUUGGUGUGUGUCAUCUCGACUCCGUGAGAUGUUCCAUGGUACAGAGCUCGGGGUGCUGGACAGCUGAGGCAGGACAAAACCAUGAAGCCAGACUGAUGUCAUAAGAUGGCGUCUUGUGUGUGACUUGGCAUGAGAUUUAAGAGGAUGUUGUGCUAUGCUGAUAACAGACGCCCUCUACUCAGAUAUGUGAAGACUGGUGCUAUAUGUCUUCCCAUUGAAGUUCUUAAGUGGACAGGAAGAGGAGAGUGUCAAGAUGGACCAUCAUUGCAGCUUGUUUUAGGAAUGUUGAGGAACAAGUUUUGGGCUUCAGGUUGAUGGUCAUGGUUAAUAUUCACCCCAUCCACUCAGGGGUCACAGCUGCUUUGCAGUCAUGUGGCCUUUCCUGAGAGAGUAGACACACUAAACCUUCCACUGCAACUGAGUAAAAAUAUUUGUCAUCUGAUUGAUGUCUCUCCUUCAGUGGUGAUGAUAUGUGACAAAGCAGGUUUUCACAACCUGAAUAAGCUUCAGAAUGUGAACCUUCUUUAUGUGUUGCAUCUUGACACAUAAAACAUUGCAUUGCAGCAAGAGAGUAAUAAUAUUAUUACUAACUGCUAAAAUGCAAUGAUUUGUUUUGUCAAGCAAAUCGUUGUCACAUUCAUUUUGUUUCUGAUGAUUUCUCCAGCUGUAAAAAUCUGUAAUGUUUGGUCAAUGAAGAGAGAUGCAGUCACCUGAGAAGUAAUUUCAGAUUAAUUAAUUUGGUUGUGCAAGGAUUGAUGUGAUGUGUCUGCUCUCAGUGGGAAACCUGACUUGUAGCAGACUGACAAUGGGGUGGGUUGGACCUCAACUUGAACCCAUCAGGGAGAGAACACACAAGGGAGACAGUAGUAACUCAGUCUCUCUCUCUCUCUCUUGCUACAUGAUGUGUCUGCUCUCAGUGGGAAACCUGACUUGUAGCAGACUGACAAUGGGUGGGUUGGACCUCAACUUGAACCCAUCAGGGAGAGAACACACAAGGGAGACAGUAGUAACUCCGUCUCUCUCUCUCUCUUGCUACAUACCGCAGAUUGUGUGACCUUACACAACCUCCCGAGAGUUCUUGGUGUCUCCAGGUUGUGGUGGUGGAAGUGCCUUGAGAAGGAACAGAAGUUUUGUCUGCAAUGUAUAUAUUAUAUUAGAGAGAAUAAAGCUUUGAUUUCUUU